rnacentral:rRNA from 1 species
GCAAGUCGCACGCUUUCUUCGGAAAGAGUGGCGCACGGGUGAGUAACGCGUGGGAACGUGCCCUGAAGUACGGAAUAACACAUGGAAACGUGUGCUAAUACCGUAUACGCCUCAAGGGGGAAAGAUUUAUCGCUUCAGGAUCGGCCCGCGUCCAAGUAGAUAGUUGGUGAGGUAACGGAGCACCAAGUCGACGAUUGGUAGCUGGUUUGAGAGGAUGAGC